rnacentral:lncRNA from 10 species
UUGGACGCCCUUCCUCGGGGCAGCGGGGUGCAGGGAGAGUUCUUCUGGCUGUGAGUCCCGGAGUCCCCGACCCUGGCACCCCUUCAGCAAGGUUCUCAGGCACAUCUGCCGGGGGCGCUGAGGGGACCUGAGAUGGACGGGCCGGGAGGGAGGCUGAGGAGAACACAGCAGGUCCCUCCGACCGCAGUCGGCCUCUCCAGCCUGCCAUGCCUCUGGCCAUGAGGCGACCCGCUGGAGUGAUGGAUUCCCGUCACUACCACCCACAGGGCGAGGGGGUGCAUUGGUCUGCUUGGGCCGCUGUAACAAAAUGCCACAGCCUGGAUGAGUGACUGACAUUGCUUCCCCACCGUUCUGGAGGCUGGAGGCCCGAGAUCGAGGUCCCUGACACUAUUUCAGUGAUGCCAGAGCCCAGGAGGAGUCGACCAAGCCCCAGCGUGGCCAUAAGCACCUUCGCAGGACCACGGAGUCGCUGCAGGUGUUCAGCCCUGUUGAGAGUGGGAGUCGGUGUCGAUGGUCACAGCUCAGUAACUCAUCGUCACCAGCGAGUACCACAGAGCAGACACAACUGCACUUCUCUGUAGAGCCUCCAGUCGAUACUGAGAGCCACUGGGGCGUCUGACACCCAAGGGUGCAGACAUUCACUCCAAGUCCAGAGACCGCGCCCUUUCUAAGGCCCUGUCUCACAGUCGCCCCGUGCUCAUUGUGCCGGAUGUUUCCACAGCCACAGAGACGGUGCGUGAAGGUGAGGUGCAGCCUAGUGCAUAUGACUGACAGAAACGUGAAGCCACAGUGGACGCCUGGAUGAGACACAGAUCACCUUCCAAAUCUGAGUGUGGCCUUGGGACCAACCAGGCAGCCAGGGAGAAGGCAGAGACCAGAGGGAACCCAGGUGCCCUCAAUCCCAGCCUCCUCUAUCCCAGCCUCCCAAUCCCAGCCUCCCCAAUCCCAGCCUCCUAAUCCCAGCCUCCUCCAUCCCAGGACCCCCACUCCCAGCCUCCCGAUCCCAGCUUCUCUGAUCCCAGCCUCCCCUAAAACCCAGACUCUAUGAAUCCCAGCCUCUGAGGUGGGAACUGUUAGUAACCCCACUCCAUGGACAAGAAAGCUGGGGCCUGGCGAGGCUAACAGACUAUCCUGAUGGUGUGAGGGAGGGAUCGGCCUCUGAGGGCUGCUUCCACCCAUCUCACCAGUGGCUGCAGGCUCCAGGCGCCACUUUCCUUGAGUCUAUGUUCUUUCCAAGCAUCCUGCAGCUCCAGAAGCUCUGGAGCCGCCAGCACUGAGAGAAGCGAUGGAGCUGCAUGCAGGGAAACUUUGUUGACAGCGGUGUCUGGAUGGACCAGCAGAGGGCACUCUCACCCACGGGGAAAAUCGUGCGCCCGGCCUCGUCCACCGCCAGAAGACGCCGC